rnacentral:rRNA from 1 species
UGGCAUCACGAGGGCUUAACUGUCUCCCCUCCCCAGUCAAUGAAAUUGAUCUCCCCGUGCAGAAGCGGGGAUAAUACCAUAAGACGAGAAGACCCUAUGGAGCUUUAGACGUCAGAGCAGCCCAUGUAAAGCACCCCUUAACAAAGGAAAAAACCAAAUGAAGCCUGCCCUAAUGUCUUUGGUUGGGGCGACCGCGGGGAAAUACAAAACCCCCAUGUGGAGUAGGAAUACACAUUCCUAAACCCAAGAGCUCCCGCUCUAAUGAACAGAAAUUCUGACCAAUAAGAUCCGGCACACGCCGAUCAACGGACCGAGUUACCCUAGGGAUAACAGCGCAAUCCCCUUAAAGAGCCCUUAUCGACAAGGGGGUUUACGACCUCGAUGUUGGAUCAGGACAUCCUAAUGGUGCAGCCGCUAUUAAGGGUUCGUUUGUUCAACGA